UGGGGAAUUUUGGACAAUGGGCGAAAGCCUGAUCCAGCAAUGCCGCGUGUGUGAAGAAGGCCUUCGGGUUGUAAAGCACUUUUGUCCGGAAAGAAAUCCUUGGCUCUAAUACAGUCGGGGGAUGACGGUACCGGAAGAAUAAGCACCGGCUAACUACGUGCCAGCAGCCGCGGUAAUACGUAGGGUGCAAGCGUUAAUCGGAAUUACUGGGCGUAAAGCGUGCGCAGGCGGUUUGCUAAGACCGAUGUGAAAUCCCCGGGCUCAACCUGGGAACUGCAUUGGUGACUGGCAGGCUAGAGUAUGGCAGAGGGGGGUAGAAUUCCACGUGUAGCAGUGAAAUGUGUAGAGAUGUGGAGGAAUACCGAUGGCGAAGGCAGCCCCCUGGGCCAAAUACUGACGCUCAUGCACGAAAGCGUGGGGAGCAAACAGGAUUAGAUACCCUGGUAGUCCACGCCCUAAACGAUGUCAACUAGUUGUUGGGGAUUCAUUUCCUUAGUAACGUAGCUAACGCGUGAAGUUGACCGCCUGGGGAGUACGGUCG
rnacentral:rRNA from 1 species